rnacentral:rRNA from 1 species
UACGUAGGGUGCGAGCGUUGUCCGGAAUUAUUGGGCGUAAAGAGCUCGUAGGCGGUCUGUCGCGUCUGCUGUGAAAACCCGAGGCUCAACCUCGGGCCUGCAGUGGGUACGGGCAGACUAGAGUGCGGUAGGGGAGAAUGGAAUUCCUGGUGUAGCGGUGGAAUGCGCAGAUAUCAGGAGGAACACCGGUGGCGAAGGCGGGUCUCUGGGCCGUUACUGACGCUGAGACGCGAAAGCGUGGGGAGCGAACAGG